AAUUUAUUCAUUGGUUUGUGCAUUGUUAGAUUCUUACAUCUUACCUUUUAAUCUGAUUAGUGAAGUUAACUAAUAUAAAAAUAUUAGCAGUACUAAAGACUUACUGGUAACUGCCAAGAAUAAUAGUUGUAGUGGUUAAACAACAUAUUUGACUAAGCACACUAUAUAUAUAUAUAUAUAUAUAUAUAUAUAUAGUCUGCAGUAUUUAUGUGUAAUUUAGAGUGAAAGAGAAAUAUCUGCUUUAGGUAAUGCUAACCUAACCAACGUCUAAUACUGGAAAAACAUUUUCUAAUUUAAGUUAUUUGUAAGUUGACAUUCAAGAGAAGUCCUCCAAAGCUUGGCUGGUUGUAAUCAUGUAGUUAUUCUUGAAUGAUAGUGAAAUAUCUGAAAACGCUAACGUCAACCUGAGCAAUGUUCAGGAUCAUGAUGGUCCUUCAAACCACUAAAGGGACUAGUUAGCGGUUAGUUCAGAGUGAGGAAACAUCCUACGAAGCAAACGUCCGCUAACGUUCAGUCAGUGUAGGUUUGACUUCAUUUAGUGUCUGACAAUAACAACUCAUCUCUAGGUGUGUAAAUGUAAAUAUCCUCUCAGUUAACACUAGAAUCAUAACUAGGCGAAUGAACAGCUCGGGCAAACACCUCUCCGACUAGAUGUGGUUUUAACAAACUGAAAAACAAAUUGACGGAUUUCGCAAUUUGCAGCAGAAACGGCUUCAGUGUUAACUUAUCAUUAAAUAAAAAUAAUCUGUAUUGCCGGCGGCAGAAUAAGUAAAACCUUCUUAUUCGUAGCUUAAAUAAAUUACAGCAGAACAGUGGUGUGUAUUUGUGCACGAAUCUCUGCGUUGUUGUUUCAGACAAGCUGUGUGUGUUUGUGUGUGUGUGUGUGUGUGUGCCAUCCGAGAGGCAGUAGAGAAAAGGGAAAUACUGUUUGUUUUUAUUGUGUUUAUAUCUCCCUGCCUUUUAUGGCCUGCGCUGAAGCUUUGCGAGGGUAAAAGAGAGGGAGAAAAGAGAGUAUUCUCAAUUUCCUUCCAAAAAGAAAAUUCAUUUGCAGUUGCUAAUGUAAUGUCACCGUUGUGUUUACUGAGCGUGGAUGAUGUAUAGGGGAUGUUGCAUUGAGUGAGACUGCUUAAUGAUGCAUAGAAUUAAGUCUGUGGCUUUCAGCUGAGCUCCCCUCUCCCUCGUACUCUCCCUCUUUCUCCCUCCCCUUCUCUCUCUCUCUCUCUCUCUCUCUCGUUCUCACUCAGACUCCCCAUUCCCUUCCUCUUCUCUUCCCUCCCUUUUACCUCUCUCUUCGUUUAAUCCCCCCCUCCUCCCCUCUUCCUCCCUCCCACCACCACCACACCAACCCCUCUCUCCUCAGAUGCAGGCUGUCUUGGACUGUUGGCCUCACGUUGCUCUGUGCUCCGUUGCCUAACUCCAUCAAUCACUGCGAAGGGGAGAGAAGAGUGUGUGUGAGGGAGGGCAGCAUACGGGAGAGAAAAAAAAAAAGAAUAGAAAUAAGAUAUGGUCGGGGAAAAAAAUGAGCAGGACGAAACAUACACAUUGUGUAUAGACACUGCACGGUUUCUAAAAAGCUGGAGGGAAGGAAGCAACCAGUGGGGAAGAACCCCGUUAAUGAUCUGCUGCGCGGCGAUGGCAGUCCAAACAAUAUCCUGAAUAUUGUGUGAAUACUGUGGAUGCAAUUGUGUUAUUAUUGGCUCUAACUAUGAUUGUAAGUCUAUUGGGUCCAGGCACGAUGAUGAUAACGAUGAUGAUCAUGAUGAUGUGAUUUUAGUGCUUAUGCUAAUGGUUAUUACCUGAGCGGGAUGACUAUCUGAGUGGGAUGAGGGUUGAGUGGGAGGGUUGAGUUGCAACAAAAACGUUUUCUUAGGUUAUAUUUAUUCUACGAUUCGUAUGUCGGGAUAACUGGUUUGGCUGAAAUGUUUAUAUUGGUUUUCCUGAUAUCAUUGUUAAAAGAUUGAUUUGCCUGCUUUACAAAUUCUGAAGUGUUAAUUUAAGGAAAGACGUUCGGUUUGAACAGCAUUAGAAAGCAAACAGACCUCUCUGAGAGUUAAAGCAGGGCUAGAAUUAUUUUAGGACAGUGCAGAUAUAUUUAGAUAACAGGGUCAAGUGUGGUUGGACAAGUCACCUGUAAUAUUAAACCUGCAGUAUUAAACGUAAACGGGAGUAUUUUCUUACUGAUUUAAAGAUAACAUCUUGUGUACAAAUAAAAAUCCACCAAAGGUAAGUGAGGGUUACUACAAAAGAAACCCAUAACAAUACGAAGCGAUUCCUUAGUUUAUUGCUAUAAUUACGAUGCAGUAUAUUUAACUGGACAAUCUUUGCCCCAUUGAUGCCCCCCUUCCCUCCCCAUGGCACGAGGAUCCUGUCAGUAGAGAGCAAGCAGUCAUAGCAGCACAUUAACACCUGCACAACAAACCCAAGCAGCUAACACUCGGGCGUCCACACUCAGCCCGUUGAGACUGCGGGACAUGAGACUUGUCCGUCCCGAGUUGACAUGUUACAAAACACACCAAACAUUUUCAGCUGUCUCCACAGUGUUUUGUUUGCGUGUUGAUUUUACGGUUUCUCUCCUUCAUCUCUCUCUCUCUCUCUCUCUCUCUCUCUCCCUCGCUUUCACUCACUCCAUUGCUCCGUUGUGAUCUAGCCGUCCACCCCAUUCAUCAUCCCGCCACUCUCCCUCGCACAGAAUUAUUAUUUCUUUGAUGUGUUACUAGUUGAAAACAAAUCCAUUUUUCUGGCCAUCAAUUUAUCAUUUGGAGUGUGGAGUCACACUCGAGUUGUAGGGGCAACCCCAUUUUCCCAAUUCCCGACUCGCGCCGCGUGUGCGUGUUUGGCCGCGUGUGCGUGUUUGUGUGCUUUUGUUUGUCAACAUGUCGACGGUUUGUCUUGUGGCGCGCGUAUGAGAUGCAGGAUGGGAGGAAUCAGGGGUAAGAAGAAGUGAUGGGGGGGGAGCUGUAGUUUGGGAAAGUGAGUGAGGAUGAGAGAACGGAGUGUUUGUGUGUGUGUGUGUUUGUGUGUGUGUGUGUGUGAGUGUGAGACAGAAAGAGAGAGAGAGGGCUUCCCUCUUCCUCCAGUCACCCUCCUUCACCUAACGUCUGUGAUAAUUUAUCACUCCUCCUAGCUUGGCUGACAAACUAUUUGCAGGAAAAUGAGUUUUUCCGCCACGGAUUUGUCCUCUGGGAAUAGAAAGGGGAGCUGCUGUGUUUUUAUUCCACCACACACACACACACACACACACACACACACAGAGAUAUAUGGUUGUUCUCUUGUGCGCUAGUGCACACGUGUAACACACACACACACACGGAUUGAGGUCUCCAGUAUUUAUUGGGGGGAGGGGGAGGUGGUUAAGAUAAAUGAGGUAAAUUAAUAGAGUUACUGAGGGAAAAGAUCUGCUUCCGCACCAGCAGAUCUGCGACUGACACACAAGAGAUGAGCACGCACACUCCACCCCCCUCCACCCGCCUCUGUUCCUCCCUCCUUCACCUGCCAGGCCAUCUCUACCUCGCUCUCUCACUUUGCUCGCCCCCCCCCCCCCCCUGAUCCUUCCUUUGCCCUCCCACGGAUGACAAAUGUAACACUCAGACAAACAGCGAUCAGGGCCAUACAGCAUGAUGUCAGCUUAGAUCAACACUGGGACGAAAGCAAAUAUCACAGCAUCAACACUGCAUUACGAGCACUCUGCCUGUGUGUGUGUGCGUGUGUGUGUUUGUGUGUGUGUGUGUGUGUGCUGGUAUUACGGCGGCUGACCCGGGUCACCGGAUUCCAAUCUCACUUUCAACCUCAUCAACCAAGCUAUUGACAAUGUGCUUGACGGAGAAUUACACGACAGUAAAGGCCUAAUUACAUUGCUAUUACCCAGGGCUGUCCGUAAUCGUCAACACGACGCAUCAGUGGGACAUCGCAGCGGUAAAUCUGCAGGCUCUCUCUCUCUCUCUUCAUGCCUGUUACCAAUACAGCGUUAACAUUUCUUUACACUGUAUCUUCGGCUGACAGCAGAGACAGACAAAUACACUGAAGCCACUUGACGAUACAACAUGUGUGUCUUUAUUUAGGCGGAGAGGUGCUUUGAGACAAUUUCCAACGCCAACAUGCAGAUGUUUAGCCGUCAUAAUGUUGAUCAUGUUAUCUUUGUUCUCUUGUGCCAGUUAGGAUGAGUUACUGGUGCCAGAUGAGAAAGUUACGUCAGAAAGCUGACAAGACGACGCAAAGUUCUUUGUUGUGCUUUGAUAUUUUCUGCACUAUACCGCAUUCUGUCUUUUGGAUGAAGGCAUCCUUCUCCAAAUAAACUCAGCGCUCCCCAAAACAGCACCCGAGUUCUCAUGAGCACUUUUCAUCUCUGCAGUCACCAAUGACACCACGGCCAACAUGGCGUGAUGCUCGUCUCCCCGGAGACCGACUUUUGACUGGCGGGCAUGAGGACGAGGUCCCCUCCGAUGGACCGCUCUGAUCAUCAAAGUCUACUGCAAUCACUAGUGUGUGUCGAUGGGGGAUGCUCCCGUGUGUGUGCGUUUGUUGCCUUUAUCACAUUUAUUGAACUCAUAAAGCGCUAUGGUUGGCAACCUCUUUCACCGCCGGACCAUUUGGGGAGAAGUUGAUAAGCGAGAGGGUGAGGAAGAGACGGAGCAGAUUGAAACUUUGACUGAAGAGUUCACGUCUGACCACCAGUCCAAGUUGCAUGUGGGCUAAACACAACCAAACACACCUCCCAGGCCGAGCCCCUCUGCUGCUAAUGGCCAUUACUGCCUGUGUGCCAUUGUAGGCCUCACAAUAGCAAUCACGCUGGGAUUUUGUGUGGAGCUUGCUGGCAACAGUUAUUAGCGGACCCUCCCCCCCCCCUCCCCUCCAUCCAUCCCUAAAAAAACUUUAAGGGGGAGCAGUCAAGAGAAGAACAAGAAGAUUUUGGGUCCUGCACAGGGAGGGGGAACGUCAGCAGGAGGGACAGUGGGGGUUGAGGGGGG
ensembl:lncRNA